rnacentral:sRNA from 14 species
GUUCUUGGUAUUUACAUGAUUAUGGUUCAUGAUUAUGAUCUUGAAAAUACAUUGAAUAACCUGGAGACACUUAUAGAAUUGACA